UGGAAUAUCAGUGAACGUGAAUUUCAAAUAAAUCUAAUUCUUUCAACUAAAGUCAUUGUGGUUUAAAGGGACACUAUAAUCACCAGAACUACAGCUUAUUGCAUUUGUUCUGGUGAAUAUAAUCAUCCCCUUCAGGCUUUUUGCAGCAAACACUGUCUUUUCAGACAAAAUGCAGUGUUUACAUUCAGAGGCAUAACUAGAACUUUUCAAUCUCCAGGCUUUCAAAGAAAUUUGGCUGUGUUGUCUCCUUGGACAAUGAGGAAGAAUGGCUAUUAUCUCCACCUUCUCCUUCCAUAUUUUCUUGUGUUUCCUCUGAAUUAGCAGAAACACGUGAGAAAAAAUAUCAUAGUUGAAAUUACAAUUUCUGAGGUAGAGCACUUUGACCUUUCGUUCUUCUUGAGUAAAACAAGGGGAGCAGUUUGGUUUUUUUCAGCUUGCCAUCAGAUCUAUAUCUGGUAUACCCCAUAAGUCACAAAUUAUUUGAAAGGUAUCCAAACUUUGCUUCCACUCACCAGGUUGGCUCAGAUAAUCUGUAAAUAUGUUUAGUUGUCCUAGUAGGUGUAUAGCGGACAGCCCUUCCAGAUUCUGUUGUGCCCCCCAAAAAAUUGGUAUAGUCUCUUGCAUCAAUCUCUUGCCUUUUGUCCCUCCUUGGUGAUUUAAAG